CACACACACACACACACACACACACACACACACACACACCGCCUGGUUUCAGAUAUGGGGCUAACUGUGGAUCUUUAGUUUAAACGUGUUUGAAUGAUCGCUCCUGGACUUUACCCACUCAGAUGUGUUUCAGGUAGAUUUCUGCUCAUGUCCACACACACCUGUCCUUCAAAGAUGCUUUCUGUCACUUCCUUUAAAAGAUGUUUAAAACCUUCCAGAUGAACUAAAGCUGUGAACAGAACCCGAAGAAACGACUGCUGUGACUUUUGAGCUCAUAUCUCAGAUUUGAACAGAGUUUCUCUUCAGAGCAGCGAGAUUCAUGACGAUCCAGCUCAUAAAUCAUGACUCUGCCUUAUAAAGGCAGCUGUAGGGAGAGCACUGAGCUACUGGGAUCUGUCAUACUGUGUGUCGCAUCAAAGCCAGAAUUUGCAGUAUCACACAGCCUGCAGGUUCCAACAGAGGAAAUGUGUGAAAUGUGGACGGGCGAUGUGAAAAUUGGGACACUGACAGGAUUUCUAACGAUGUAAGUUUCUGAUCGUUCAUUGUUUUGUGCUCUGAGAGAAAGCUACUCUCAUACUUUCUCUUUUAGUCCAGCAAACCUUCUGUUUUUUUCUUUCUUUCUCUUGUUCUUGUUCAAAGUACAGCUGACAGCUGUUUGGAGGUAAAGUCACAGACGUUAGUUCUUCACAUUCUGCUGACACAGUAACUGAAGCUCUUCUCAAACAGGAACCGUGACGAGUAUGUCUGUGGUUUUAUACGUCCUCAGCUAUAAACUGAGAUCAGAACACUCAGAGAGACUCAGUAGUGGGAUGAAAUUCAUUCACUGGGACGAACAAAGAAGACCCGAUGAAGCAAGCGGUCCACCACAAAGAUCCAAAGCAUGGAGGAGGUUUUAAAAAAGGAACACAUGCAGUAAAUGUAUUCCUACAGAUAAAAGCUGGGGUGGUGUCAUAAUUUAAAGAAGAAAAACUCGUGCUUAAACUUCUCACCAUAUUGAAACACUGACGUCUGAGCCGCCUCCACCUGCUCUGAUUUCAGGCCCGUCUCCCAGGAGGCCGGCACGUAGUGUCGCGCUGAUCUGUUAAAUAUUCUUCAUUUUAACAUCCGAAAAUGUGGAUUUUUAUCCAAACUGUUGGCCUUACUGAGCGGGCUCUGCUAAUCAUUAACAGUGGUGGUUAAACAGUGAGUAGUUUGGGAGCUGAGAUCAUUAAAGAAGUCGUGACUGAAGGUGUUAAAUUUUGCCUUUACUUGAACUGCUCCUCUGACACGGACAAUUUAUUUUGCCAGGAACAUUUGAAUCUCAAGAACAAAAUGUUCUUUUGCAAGUGUCCUGAUGACAAUUGGCAGAGCUCCAUUAGGUUAGUGAUUACAUAAACUAACCAGUGAGAUAAAGAAUCUGGAUGCUUUCUCAUUCUGGGUCUGGUCUCGGUGGUCUCAGGCUUCACCUGUGGACAGUUUUCUGAUUCCAGCCAGAAGGAGCUUUGAACUUUGAACGACCGUGUCAAAGAUGAUCAUGAGCUUUAGUGACAGCUCGAAGAAAUAAGUCUCAGAGCUGAAGAAGGUAACUUGUUCUGCCUUUUAUAACUUAAAUCGGAUAUUAUAGUUGUAAGCUGCCCUAGAGCUCCCUCUAGUGGCUGCUUUGGGUUCGGUUACUUUGGGAAAGGAAAAAAUGAGAACGUGAAGAAGAAAUAAAAGAUGGCGGAAAGUGAUACCGUAAUGUUAUCGUUCUAAGCUGAUACGGACCUUAAAAUGUUGUUGCCUUGGACAAGAUAUGUCUUUUUACGAUGGUCAAAGAGAAGGCAAUGGUCAGAGGCCAUUCUUCAAUAAAUCAGCGCAAAAAGGAAAAUAAGUCUGGUUAUUGGAGCAUCGUUAUCUCGCUGUCUAGCUGGUGAAACCAAGAGACUCAGGGCGAGGACAGCACAUAACUUCUGUAGACCUCCGACUUAGGAUUGUAUCGAGCACAGAAAAGGUCCCAGUGAGCACAGCGGCCUCCGUCAUCCAGAAUGGGGAUAAGAGAUAAGGGCUUUAGUCAGGGAGGUGAUGGCCACUCUGACCGAGCUCCAGCAUCGCUCCUUAGAAAGAGGGGAACCUUCUUGAAGAACAAUCAUUUCUGCAGUACUCCACCAAUCAGGCCUGUCUGGUAGGGUGGUCAGAUGGAAGUCACUCCUCAGUAAAAAAACACAUGACAGCCCACCUGGAGCUUACCAAGAGCCACCUGAAGGACUCUCGGAGCGCGAGAAACAAAAUUCUGGUGUGACGAGACUGAGAUUGAAUGCCGAGCAUCGUGUCUGAAGGAAACCAGGCAGAGCUCAUCACGGCACCAACAGGGAAGCACGGUGGUGGCAGCAUCAUGCUGCGGGGAUGUUUUUCUGCAGCAAGAACGAAGAGACUCGUCAGGGUCAAAGGAAAGAUGAACACAGUAAUCUGCAGAGAUGUGCUUUCACCGUUCACCUGACUUUAUCUGAGUAAACUAAAGAAACUCUUAAAUACUCUGGAGACAAUUUCCUGCAUUAUCAGGUGACGCAUUUGCACAGGCGAGCAGCCUAAAGUAGCGUGAUAACUGUCAUGGCUGAGUAGCAGGUGUGUUUGUGGUAAGGACCCGAGGGUGAUGAGGGAAGUGGAAACACCUGGAAACACAGCUGACACAAAUGCACCUGAACGCCGCAGGGGAAGUACAACUAAACACACUGAACAUGGACACACAAGACUUUCAAAAUAAAACAGGAAAUAUAGUGGAACGUAGACAUGCUGUCCCUUCCGGGCGAUCGUGGCUCAAGAGUUGGCAGUUCGUCUUGUAAUUGGAAGGUUGCCGGUUCGAGCCCCAGCUUGGACAGU